GGGCAGCUAUUAGCAUCACAGAUUGUUGUUGUGGUCCUCCGGCGCAUACAGUAGGCAGUCUACGGCGCAGACACGUAUGUUAUUGUUGAACGCGGCAAAAACGAAGCCUCACAAAGAGUGAAAUCCCCAAUGAAAAUCAUAAUCCUGCAUCAUGGAGAGAAAGAGAGGAAAAAGAAAGAUCACCGACUUUUUUCAAGGGUUUCCCUGGUUGGCGUCAAGUCUCCAUUUCCACAGCGAGAAGGCAGGUGACACAAAACAAGGACGCCUGCCUGAAGAAGGGAGGUGGUAUUGAAUUGGAUUAUAUCAAAGGGUCACAUACUGCUUUCACGUUUGACUUAUGCUCGGUCAUAGCUUGCGGGAGAUAUAAUGGCUCGUGGAGGGAUUACAACCUGUAUGUGUGUCACACUCCAUUGGUAGAUAGGAUGUGUGCCGGAUGGGGACGUCCGCCGCUUGAGGGGUGGUGCCCGGGAUGGGACGAGGUCCGAGCGUAUACGGAACAGUGGCAGCCCGGACUCCCGUGGGGACCAAAUGCCACUAUGUGGAGCUCGUUUAAGCUCCAACGAGAUUUCAGCUCCUCCCAGAAUCCACUUACCUUGUCUGUCAGGGGUUGGGACACCUCUCCUGACAGAGGUGCGGAUAGUCUCCAUUUCCACAGCGAGAAGGCAGGUGACACAAAACAAGGACGCCUGCCUGAAGAAGGGAGGGG